AGUAGAGAGCUAUUUGGCUGAUUGGGAUAUUUAUUUACAAAGGGAACGCUCCUGACUUUGUUUUUCUUAAGCCAAGGGAACCCAAUCCAAACCCUAAAUCUUAUCCAAUGAAGGGAAAGUAAAGGGCAAAAAAGUAUAACGAACGACGAAUAAAACAAAAGCUUCAAAAGUUUAAGCCCAUGUCCAGGGGUGGGAAAUAAGUUAGACCCAUUUGACACAAAAAGCUAUCAAUGGCUGUUCUCUUUGCAUAAACCGUCAAGUGCUAGAGACUUAGAAAGAUACAAGAGAACAUGGAGAACUGUUAACUCAGCAACAUAAAAAGCCUAGAGAAAUAGACUCAAAGGCAAGGAAAGGGAAGUGAAGAGAAGAGAAGAUGGUUGAGUGCUCUGAAUCAUUCAAGGGUGUUAAGAGGUAUCAAAGGAAUAAUAGCCACUUUGAGAAUGGGAAAAUGAACUUCUUACCGCCAGUAAUGGUAGAUAUUGGUUAUGGUUGCGUCUUCUACAAGCAUUUUCAAGUGGAUGGGGGUGGAAUUGACGGGACCCUGACCUAUCCUCGCAUAUCAAGAGACUCGGGAAGGUGAAGAGGGGAGGGGGGUUUCCUAGGGUUUCAGGUUCAUUGUUUUGAUCCAUCGUUUGCUAUUUUGGGCCCUUUUGAAGCUGUUCUAUGAGACGAAGUCUGGCAAAUUUAUGCCCUCUUUUGGUUGUUUUUCAAGUUUUAUCUAGUCCAAUUUAUCUAAGAGGCAAAAAGACUUAACUACAUGUGCAAAGUAGUACUCGCGUUUCUCUAGUGCUCAUUUUCAUCGACUUACCCCAGUCCCCUCUUCUCGUUUCCAUUUCAUCGUUCAGUGUUUUCGUUGAUUAUUGAAUAACUUACCCUGUAGUACUCCUAUUUGCAUGUCUAUACAUCUCUUAUCCCUUGUAUAUGACAAAGGUUUAAUUUGCUAUAUAAUUUGCACAUGGCUAAUUAAACUAUA